rnacentral:rRNA from 1 species
AUUGGAUCCAGACUUUGAUUCUGGCUCAGGAUGAACGCUAGCUACAGGCUUAACACAUGCAAGUCAAGGGGAAACGAUAUUGGAAGCUUGCUUCCGAUAGGCGUCAACCGGCGCACGGGUGAGUAACGCGUAUCCAACCUGCCCAUCACUUGGGGAUAACCUUGCGAAAGUAAAACUAAUGCCCAAUGACAUUUAUAGAAAGCAUCUGAAAUGAAUUAAAAAUUUAUCGGUGAUGGAUGGGGAUGCGUCUGAUUAGCUGGUUGGCGGGGUAACGGCCCACCAAGGCAACAAUCAGUAGGGGUUCUGAAAGGAAGGUCCCCCACAUUGGAACUGAAACACGGUCCAAACUCCUACGGGAGGCAGCAGUGAGGAAUAUUGGUCAAUGGGCAAGAGCCUGAACCAGCCAAGUACCGUGCAGGAUGACGGCCCUAUGGGUUGUAAACUGCUUUUAUAGGG